rnacentral:rRNA from 1 species
AGGACGAACGCUGGCGGCGUGCUUAACACAUGCAAGUCGAGCGGUAAGGCCCUUCGGGGUACACGAGCGGCGAACGGGUGAGUAACACGUGGGUGACCUGCCCUCAGCUCUGGGAUAAGCCCGGGAAACUGGGUCUAAUACCGGAUAUGACCUCUUGUUGCAUGACGGGUGGUGGAAAGCCGGUUACUUUGGUUCUGGCGGCUGGGGAUGGGCCCGCGGCCUAUCAGCUUGUUGGUGGGGUGAUGGCUUACCAAGGCGACGACGGGUA